GCUUACUAAUGCAAGGAGCCUAUAUAACAAAAUGGGGGACCUAGAGGAAAUAGCAUACACUAAACAAUAUGAUAUAAUAGGCAUAACAGAAACAUGAUGGGAUGAGACACAUGACUGGGCAGUUAAUUUAAAUGGGUACACGUUAUUUAGGAAGGAUAGGAAAAACAAGAAGGGUGGUGGGGUAUGUUUAUAUGUCAACCAUUAGUUAAAGUCAAAUCUUAG